UGAUGACAGUAGGCUUGAGACAUACCAGAGCAUGAUGCAAGUCACCUUACUUUCUUACCAUCCUCAAGUCACCUCCUGUUGAGAUAUCUCCCACUGUAAAGCACAGCCAGGUUCCUGUAGAUUCCUUGUAAUGGUUGGUUACUCGAAGCAAGCACGGCGAAAACUCCAUGUUCCUCAGCCCUCAGGGGGCUCCAGUGGACCUAGAUUGAUCAGGCUGAUACACUUUAGAACAUAUAUAUACUUCUGAGUCGCAUAAGAAUAGUUGCCGUCAUCGGUUAUGCUGCCCGGAAAUGGGUGCUUCAGUUCGUUCUUAUACAUGCACAGUCUUGCAAAGGAUUUCUCUUAUACUUGAAGAGGAUUCUGGUAGUAUGAAUAUGGUUUGCAACUUUGCAUAUUCUGGUAGUAUGAAGUGAUAUGGUUAUUCUUUGUAUAGACCAGUUACACAAG
rnacentral:lncRNA from 1 species